UCCCCCUUACCCUUUCUCUCUCUAUCCUUUUCUAUGAAAUCUUAGGCGCCGCCUCAUUAUUCUCUCCUCUCUCUCUCCGCCAAAGUGGUAAAAGUACAAAAACAACAGAGAAAAUACAGCUUUUGCAUGUCUAUUAUGGUGAAACAAUUAAUGUUUCACUUGAUUUUGCGGAAAAAAAAAUAUGUUCCAAACACGGGUUUGGAAGCACAAAGGCUUCAAGUUCAACUCUUGACAAGGCUGCGCAUAAAAAAGGUAGACAGGGAGGCGAGCUCGAGCCAGACUCGUAGGAUCUGUUAUCCAAUUGAAAGCACUCUUUUGUUCCGGAGAUGCUUGGUUAUUCUUUUGUGUAUAUUUGUAUAUGUUGGGCUCGACGGGGUCCUGUCCCGUCUAUGCGUUUUGUACUUCAGUAGAGGCUCGUAGAUACACGGUGUGGGUUAUGUGGUAUGAUAGGGUCACUAUGGUAUAAUUGUAUAUACAUUAUUGUGAUAGCCUAAAGGGCUUAUGUAUAUAAAACUAUUUAUUUUUA